rnacentral:misc_RNA from 1 species
UCCGACUUAACGUCGGCAGUCUCAUUAGAGUGCCCUUUCGUCGCAACUAAUGACAAGGGUUGCGCUCGUUGCGGGACUUAACCCAACAUCUCACGACACGAGCUGACGACAGCCAUGCAGCACCUGUGUUACGGCUCUCUUUCGAGCACGCCCUGAUCUCUCAAGGCUUCCGUACAUGUCAAGGGUAGGUAAGGUUUUUCGCGUUGCAUCGAACUAAUCCACAUCAUCCACCGCUUGUGCGGGUCCCCGUCAAUUCCUUUGAGUUUUAAUCUUGCGACCGUACUCCCCAGGCGGUCUACUUCACGCGUUAGCUGCGUUACCAAGUCAAUUAAGACCCGACAACUAGUAGACAUCGUUUAGGGCGUGGACUAC